rnacentral:hammerhead_ribozyme from 1 species
GCAUUGCUGAAGAAUCCUACAAUAGGACGAAACGGUCGUCCAGUGC